UAUUUACUUCAUGGUAUUCAAUUCAAAUGGUUUGUCCACUUCCAAAGACGGUUACGAAAUUGAAAAUCUUACAACUUCUCAUCCUAAUUCAUAAUAAAUCACACGGCUGUUGAUUUUUCUUAUAUACGACUUCUGCUUCCAUCUUCUUUCUCCCUCUCCUUCUCCCUCUUCUUCUUUCAUCUCCAUCUGUUUUUCAUUGAUAUUAUUGAGUAUUAGACAUGUUUGAUUUUGAUUUUGAUUUAGUGUUUGUUGUUUCAGGUUUGUUGGUGUUGACUCACACGAAAGGGGGAAGAUUCGUCAGCGGUGCGGUUGCUGAACGAGUUGUUGUUGAAAAACAUGUCAUACGACAAAUCUAUUGCCUGCAAAGUGUUUGCUAAAAGAUCCAAACCAAUCACUUUUUGAGUUUUUCUUAAUUUUAUUUCGAAAACGUUUAGUAUUUGAUUGGUGAAGAGUUUUAGGAUCAUGUGUUUAACGUCAUGUAUGUAUUGUAUGUUGUUAAUAGAGGUCAUGAAAGGUUGAUGAAGAGAUCGACGUACUUCAGUCCAAGUUGAAGCAAAUUGAAGACGAUCCAAUGCCGAUUCAGUAUGCUGAUAAUAGUCACUUGAAGCUAUGGGCUUAAGCUAUCAGGACCUAUGAAUUGAUGGAAAAGACUCUCAAAGUGUAUGCAGAGAAGGGUCUAAGCUGAUAAUGCAUUCGCCAUAUCUUUUGGGAAUUUAUGCUUCCGAGGGAUGGUUCAUGAGGUUGAUGGAAGCUAAUAAAGCAUUUGUUACUAAAGACGCGAAGAAGGCGCACCUGUUUUACUUACCUUUCAGUUCUCGAAUGCUUGAGGAAACAUUGUACAAUCAGAGCUCACAUAGUCAGAGAAAUCUAAGGAAGUAUCUGAAUAACUAAGUAGACAUGAUUGAUGGAAAGCAUCGAUUCUGGAACAGAACGGAAUAGAACUACUCACUGCGGAGUUUUGGAGUUCACAGCUGACGAAGGGACCGUGUUCUUACCGAAUUGGGAAUGGAUGAUGACAAGGAAUUACUGAUGUCCCAGAUGAAUUUUGAGAAGACAUUUGGAAGCCAUUCAUCAAAAUCCAUGGCAGAAGAUGUGCUUAAUCGAGGUGAGGGAACAACAGAACCUGUUGAAACAUACAAUGGUCGAAGCUCUUCGGCAGUGUGGGCAAAGAAGCAAACCGGCUGGACUGGAGAUUACUUCCCGGAAGAUCUGAACCAGUUCUGAAUUGUGGUCUGAGCAAGCCGAUGAAACUGUUCUGGAUUCUCAAGUUUGGCCUACAAUCAAAACAUUCCUCAAGUCCUCAACUUGAUUAAACAUGUUGCAUGGACCGUUUGUUCAUCCUUGGGGAGGUUUGACAAUGACGCGGGAGGGUUCGCUGACACUCAUGGACCGCUACUUGAAGUCAAAGUCUCUGAAAGGACUGAAAAUUGUAAGGUAUUUCACGACGCACGUGCCAGAGAGCGGGAAAGAGAACUGCUUUAUCCUGAUGCCUGUGGUGGCGGAGGCCGUGGUUGGAUAAGCCAAGGGAUCGUGAGUUACGGUGGAGGUCACAGGACACGUACAGCAGUUUAAAACUGAAGGUUGUUCUAUUGGAAGACCAGAUUAACAGAUAUGCAAGUAUUAUUCCAAGAACCUACAUUCUAUCCCACUGUGACUUAACAGCUAAUCUCACUUUAGCUGUUUCCAACGUCAUCAAACUCACCAUGGUAUAAUUGUUAAUCAGUGUGGAACACAUUAUGACGGUGUUCUGAACAGAUGACAUAUGGUAAACAUCUGUUGCGAUCUAAGUAAGACUGUGAGAGAGAAAGCACUAUCUUCAUUUACAUCCCUCUCAAAUGGAAUUCUUUUGAGUACGGAUGUUGCGGCACGUGGACUUGACGUACCUGGCGUAGACUGUAUAGUACGAUAAUAGAGAAGAAAUGCACAAGUUGGUCUACUACCUUGUGAUAGAACUGCCAAUGAGGUUAUGCUUUUGGAGGACAUAACAACUACUCUUUCUAAGAUCAAUUUUUACUCCAGAUCUAGAAGGGCCAUUGAGAAACACAAACUCUGUCACUAUUUGAUUCUUCUCUUGGCCCUUUUUUGGUUCCUGUAUGACUAUUGGAGCCGCAGUCCUCACUUCAGCACUCUCGGUCUUAUCAGCUUCAUAUGGAGUUGAGAGAUCCUUAUCAGAAUUAUCACACCUAUGUAAGUGCUUAAUUGUUACAC